UACAGAGGGUGCAAGCGUUAAUCGGAAUUACUGGGCGUAAAGCGUGCGCAGACGGUUGCGUAAGUCAGAUGUGAAAGCCCCGGGCUCAACCUGGGAAUUGCAUUUGAGACUGCGUAGCUAGGGUGCGGAAGAGGGAAGCGGAAUUUCCGGUGUAGCGGUGAAAUGCGUAGAUAUCGGGAAGGAACACCAGUGGCGAAGGCGGCUCACUGGCCCGAUACUGACGCUGAGGUGCGAAAGCGUGGGGAGCAAACAGG
rnacentral:rRNA from 1 species